GGUUAUACCAAGUGAUUAAGUUAUAUUUUUAGGUAAAAAGACAGUUAGGUUUUAACAAUUAGUUUAUUGACCAUCUAUAAAAAAGUAAAAUUUGUAUAUAGAUAGCUAAUUUAAUAAUAACUAAUUUUACUGAAGCUGUGAUAGUCUUGAGGGAAACUGGGAUUAGAUACCCCAUUAUUCUUGACUGUAAAUAUAAUAAAAUUUACCAGAGUACUAUGAAUAGUUAAAAAUUUAAAACUCAAAGGGCUUGGCGGUGUUUUAGACCUAUCAGGGGAACCUGUCUCGUAAUCGACAAUCCACGCUAUACCUAACCUUAUUUUGUAUUCAGUUUGUAUACCGUCGUCGUCAGGUAACUUUUAAAAAUAUAGAAGUUAGCAACAAAAAUUAUAUAAAUUAAGACGUCAGAUCAAGGUGCAGCCUAUAAUAAGGAGAGGAUGGGUUACAAUUAUCAAAUUUAUAAUUACGGAAAUUUAAGUGAAACCUUAUUUAGAAGGAGGACUUGAAAGUAAAUUAAAAUAUGUAAAUAUAUUGAAUAAGGCUCUG
rnacentral:rRNA from 1 species